UCUCCGUUUUGAUACCUUCUGAAGCAAAAUGUACUUCUCUCUUGCAUCUGAACGGCACUGACCCCAAAUUGAGGUCUGAGGCCUCCCAGUUGUGUGUGUGGUAGUACGAGCUGUAUCUUUUGUGGAUCUGUUGAAAUCCCAAAGACCUCAAUCUUUACUUGUAACUCCUGGGGGGGGCGGUAAUGCUACAAACUGGACCCACAGCGAAUACCCCAAACUUGAGAUUAGACUGGAGGACUCACAGCUGCUUAGGGAGAAGAAAAUGUUAUUCCUUACAGUUUGAUGUGAAAGAUAGUAAGUUGAUUUUCAUAUUAAAAUGUCCCUUUAUUAAUAUAUACUUUAAAAUAUGUAUGUAUCUGUGAAAGAAGAAAAAUUUCACGCCUAGCAUUGUAAAUAAUUUCUCUUGUACUUCUGUAGAACAACAAAGAUAAGCCAGGUAGCUUAUAUAGUAGCAAGUCCUCCAGUCACAAAUCAGAAAUUGAUUUAGGAAGUUUUAGAAUAAUGUUGAGUGUUAGUAAUAGUCCCCCAUACAGUAUCAAACCUUACUAGCUCCAGGGCCUUUCCUAGCUAGGCUAUUAUUCACUGCAAUAAAACAGAAAAUAAAAAGCAAAACAAAACAAAGUUCACAAAUUAGCUAAGUCUUCCAAGUAGUCCUUCUUUCUUGAUUUCAUGAUUUGUCCCUUUUCCAAACAGCUCAAAGUCCUCUUUGCUGCCUAAGUAUGCACUCUCCCUCCCCAAAGGACACUUUAGGGAAAACCACCGUCUAAGUGGCAAGUGUGCACCUUAACCAGGAACUGCUUUUGCAGAACGUUUGGAGAAAUCGCAAGUAACUGUUCUUCGCUGCUCUGGAAGAGGGUCCGUGGGUUUCUGUCCUACCAAGGUAUGUCUGCUGAUAGGCCCUUGGAGGGAAUGUCUGCUGCUUCAGCAGUAGCAUUAAUGCCAGUGCUAGAGGUGGAAGUGCUAUACAAUAAUACAUCGCUUUUCUAUUAAAAAUGCAGCAUUUGGGGGGAAAAAAUGGUUUGUCACACCUUCAGGAACUUGGGCAGCUGUCUGAUAAAGAUGGCGUUGAUCAGCUAUGAGCUGUAAAGAAACCUGGCCUUGCAGAGCUUGGUACUGAGCCACUUCUUAAAUUCUCUCAUUAAGUCUAUCAUAUUCCUCUUGUAGUGGAGCUUUACCAUGGAGCUAUACCACAAAACAAGUAAUACUGGCAAGCUGCCCAUGUGCUUCAAAAAGUUGGUUUUCAAAAGCCUCAAAACUUACCCUUAUGUAUGAGGAGGAAUAGGCCUCUGUUCAGGCGCUCUCAUAGUAUCACCUUGGGCAUUCUGCCUGUUGGCAUAAAUCGGAUUUUGCUUUUGUCAUGUAUUCAACAUUCUUGCUAGGGAAACAUAACAUUUAUGUCCUAUCGCUUUUUAUUUUCUCUUUAACCAUUCUGAAAAUGCUUCAGUUUUUCCUGUGCAUCAUUUAAAUGGAGGAUAGUGUCAAAUUGAUUCCAUACAUCCUCAGCCAACAAAUGGUAAAUGAAACAAUAUCCUGGUUAUACAACUGCUUCUGUAACAAUUCCUGUGAAGUGUUUGAUGAAAGACUUUAACUGAAGCACAAAUAACUUUUUGAGGGUAAUAAUUAAUGUUGUUUAACUCUUACCCUAUACUGUUUUUACAUACUCCAUGUUGUCGGAGGAACUGGUUGCUGGAACUAAAAAUACCUCUGACCUGACAAAAACACUCGAGGCAUUUACUGCUGCAUCCACAGAAGCUGAAGCAAUGGGCUUCUGGCUACCAGCUGGCCACUUGCCACAGAAACCCUCACAGAUCUCAUCACUGCCUCUGGGCUUACAUGAUCAUUAUCAGCACAUACAAUGGACACGCUAGUAUCAGUAGAAAGCUUUCUCUGAUACAAGCUGGCUUACCACAGCAGCCUGUAGUUACAAUUAGUCUUUUUCCCACUUUUGACAAGUUCUGUGUGUUGAUGAGAACUUCCUGAAUAUGUGAAGACUUUAGGACGGGAUUUCUUUUUCAGUUUUUCUUCUAAGGUGGAAAAAAUGAAUCCACUGAAAACUAGAGUUGUGUCCAAAUAAGGAAAAAAGGAUCAUAAAUCUUGAUAGGCUACGUCAAAAUAGACUGAGGUGGGGCAAAAGAAUAGUUAAGGAACAAAUUAGUUAGGCACUACUUCUACUAAUAAAUACAAUCUUGAAUGCUAUUUUGUAGAACAGUUUUGUUCCCCCUGUUGCAGCCUGUCCCUACUCCAGCACUACAAAACUUCAGAAGAGAGAAAAAUUGGAAAAGGAUAGGGAGAAAAACAAAGAUGAUAAAAGGCACAAAAGUGCUCUCAUGUGAAGAACAAUUCACUGGAGCAGGAAUCUUCAUUUUGGACAAGACAGUUUGCUCAGGUGGCUGAAGUAUUUUGAUAAAAUGAUAAGCUGCAAUUGUGCUGAGUAGGGAACCAUUUUUCAUCAUCUCGUAUAAAAUACUGAAUGAAACACGUUAAUGUUUGGAGAGCUGUGCCCUCAGUCACACAAGCGUAAGUGGUGGAACUCCUCGCUGCACAAUUUUUGUUGAUGUUAAAGUUCAUGCUGUUCAAAAAAAAUGCUUUCUCAGGAGAUCCUCAAGAUUGCGAAUCAGAGUAAAAGAAUGUUCUGGGGAAGUAUUAUUAUAUUCUUGUUAUGCUUUUACAACUUUUUCCUAGGUAUGCAUCCCCUGAUGGCCAUCAUCACAAACAGGAUGCUCACCUAGCUGAACCUUUGCUGAUCCAGUACAGCUGUUCUACGAAUCCACCAAGUAUCUGUGAUGAAAAACUUUAACACCAGCUUUAAAUUCUCCAGGUUUCAUCAUAGUUACGAGGCAUAGGUGCUGCAAUACUUUGCAAUGAUUUAACAGAAACACAUGUCAUCUUACAAGGAUUUUCUUGACACUUUUUAAUUCAGCUGAAACAAGGGAACAUGGCUCAAGUUCCUCUUAAAACUCCCUACUUGAAAAUUUCCCCCAUUGACCUCGAAGUUGGUCAGCAGAAAUUCCCUUCAGGACCUGAUAUGGCUAUUUUCACAAAGUGUGUAUCCAGGGCAGGGUUUUCUUUAUCCCCACGGUAAACUAAACAGCUUAGUUUUCAUUUAGGUUGACUUCUUUAAGUAUGUGCUAUGGCAUUGUUUUAACUCGUUGCAUUGCUACAGCUCCUUAUUUUUUUCACAAACUUUUUCUUACAGAUUCUUAACAUCUGGCUACCUUCCCCAACCCCCCCCAAUCAGCCUGGGUUUUUGGAAGGAAUUAUGUUUUCCAGAUCUCCCCCCCGCACACACCAACCAGUUCAGCUACCUCACUUAAUACUAGAUUAAGGUGCAUAUCCAGAGAGCUUAUCUUUCACUGUGGUGAACGAAUAUAAAAUUUCCAUAGACUAUACCUUUGCCAAAUGUUGCCACAAACCUAAUAUUAAUUUCUUCAAGCAUUUUUCCAGUGUUUCCUGUAUAGGUCUAGUGUCUCUCUCUAUGCGUAUUCCUUAAUGGUGUGUUUUGCUGGCUGCUUUUUUUUUUAAUUUUGCAAGCCUCUGUUUCUUGCUGUCUGUAGUCAUCUUCUACACCCACCUUGCAACUUUUUGCUCUAUAUCCUUCUAGCUGUCAUAAACGACAGGACAGAUUACUUUCAUCUCAUAAUGCCUAAAUUCUCCUCCAGUAUCUAGUCUAUAUUCAGAAAAAUCCUUUGCAUGUAAACCAUUUGAGGAAAGCUCUGUAGUGUGGCUCUGACCCUUUUUACUUUUUCCUUGAGUUACAAGUUCCUCAAAGCAAAACUGCCGCUAGCACAUUGCCUUUUUUUUUUUUCCCCCCCCUCUUCCUAGUGGUGUAUUUUCCCAAAUGGACCUUGCUUGUCCCAGUGAAAUUCUAACGCAUCCAGCAUUCCUUGGCACCUCUGGUUUGUUCCUGUUGAGCAUACUAAACUGACCCUCUGGAAACUGUCUCACUUGAAGUGGAUUCUUUUAAUUUCCUUACCAGAACAGCCUCCGUCUUUUUUUCCCCUGCAAGUCUUUAUUCUGUCUGGUGCAAGUCAGUGACUUUCUGGCAUCAAUCCUAAAUGCAGCCUGGUAGGUAUUUUCAGGUCUUCUAAUUGAAUUGCAUUUUACAGUCUUAAAAAAACAAAACAACAACAAAAAAAACCACACCAAAAAAACCUGACCAAAACAAAAACCCAAAAAACCAAGUAGUGAUGAAUUUUGGGUGGCCUGUUGUAAUUGAAUGUUAUAUUAGCAGUUUAUUAACUCAUUAACAGAUAAAUGAAUGUGACCAUACUUGUAACAGUAAAGCUAACUUUGUUUAUCUAAGUGCUAAUAAUUACCAUACUACCCAAAGCAAACCAGAGUCAGCCUCUACUCUCCACCAAAGUUUGAGUGUUCCUUCAGUACAGAAAGGUUAAGGAGCACUACUAAGAGCCAGUUUUCACCUUCUGGGUUUUUUUGCACACAGCUGAAUUAUCUGGACUCAGACUGAAACCAGUAACCGUUGAUGGAUGCCCUUUUAAGUUUUGAACUUAAAAAGUCAAAAGUGCCUAAUGAUGCUUACAUUUUCUUGGUAUGUAAGUCAUCAACUUCAGUUUUGCUUUUUUAUUCAAGCUUAGCUAUUUGCUAAUUAUUUAAAAUGAACUUCUCUAAAAAGAGUUUUCUGCUACAUGGCUGAAGUUAAAGGCUUCAAUUUAAACUUCUGGAAAGGGCUCACAAAAAUGAUCAGUGACUUCAUGGGUAAUAAUUUAUAAAGGAAAAUUAAUUCCUUGUUGGGUAAAUAUGAAGCAUUACAUUAUGUAAGUUAGCCUGGAUCACUGCAUCCUUGAGAAAGAUAAAUACGUAGUGCUUUGAAAACGAACUAUUACAGACUGACUCUUUUUUUUUUUAGUUACUGGAGAGCAAAAGCAGACUUGCAGAGUAAAUUAAAUGCAGUCAGCUGGUGAGAAUCUGUAUUAUGGUUCACUGCCCAGUUUAUUAAAACAAGGGGGUUUUUUGAGCUUAAAAGAAGCACUUUGGUAAAUAGAAUCUCAGCCUUAUAACUGAUACUAUUCAGCCAGUAAAUGUAGUUUUAUAUUUUAUGUUGAAAAAUCUACACUAAUUAAUUUUUGAAUGCUAGAGUAUGCAAUCUUCUGUUGCUAUUAAAAAAUACGGAGAACUGACUGUGUAAGAAGACUUGAAUGAUCAGUGAAAGAUCCUUCUACAUUUCAAAUACUAAAAUAAAAUCUAGCUUUCCAGAAUAACACAGCCCUUGGCCACGUUCCUUCAGAGCCCAUCUCCAGAUGCACGUUUUCCCUGUCAGUUCUCCAGUUAACCAGAGAACCUCACUGAGAACUUAUGUGAAGAAAGACUUGCUAUUACUAGGGAAUGGAUAAGGUUCUUAUUUCUCACAUAAAAAUCAACAGAAUGUUGACAAGCUUGGUGAUGUUGAUAUUUCACUCUUGUUCUUCCAUACUUUAUUUUGUUGGAAAACAAACCUCAGCUAUGCCUAUAUAGCAGAACAAUCUGAGUAGCCACAGAGGGCAGGAGUUACACAGGUGCAAUGCUUAACACUGCUGCCUCCAGCAGAGCGAGCAGGAUGGGAUGAAGCAGGUUGUUGUAGUGUCUGCCCAGCAGACCUAAAGCCUGUGAAGUGGAGGAAAUUGCACAGCUGCUCAGAUGAUAAGGUAUAAUUAGUGCCAAACAUGCAUGUGGCAAUUUUACACUAAAUAAGCAUAACCCUGAACCACGAAGCUACAAAUUAAAGAAACUUUACCCAGAGUAGAGGACACAAAUGGAAGCAGAAGUUUGACUUCUGGUCCUGCAGGUUUGCUGUGCAAGUCACUUUGUAUGUUACAGAUUUGUGAUGCUGUGAUAUCUUUAUGAAAUAUUUUAAGAAAAUACAGAUUUUUAAGUUAUUCCUUAUUAAAAACAUUGCAAAAGAAUUUACUAAAAAUCAUAAGCAGUAAAACAGGGUAAGGUAAGCAGGUAGUAAACAAAUGCAUCUUCUGAGGAAAAUUAAUUUCCUCUUAAUAGACUGUACGGAGAUUUGCUGUGUGUAUGCACCUUAUUUGUGUGUUUUUUCCUAACAGAAAACAUGUGGACUGACAUGAUAUAAUACUGUGCAGAUGCUCUUAAAGAAAUUCAAUCUGACCCUGGGCUUUUGCCAAGCUCUCUGAGAAAGGUCAACAUACUGAAGUCAAAUUGCAGCAUUUUACCUGCUUUGGAGGUCAAGGGAAGUAUUGCAUAAAAUGACAAACAUCUGAUGGAAGAAUCUGAAACCUAUUUUCAGCUUUUGAUUUCUAGAUCUUGAUUCACCUUCCAAAUACUGACUUUUCUUUAACAGCACAGUUGCAGGGUUUUCACUGAAGAUUUGUAAAAAUGACUAUUCUGAACAGGAGUAUUUCAUCCUUUGCCCAAAUACGCCUGUGUGGGGCUAGUGCAAAUUAAUAUAAAAGGCAACAGGAACUCCUCAAAACAACUCUUGAGUAGGUCUUUUUCAUAUUUGCAACUUGGAAGCCCCUCUGUCAGGAAGAGUUCCUAGCAGAAGUUGUUUAAGCACUUUUAUUUUGUCCGUUGAACUAAUCUUCCCAUACCAGUAGCGUCACAUCAUGACUUUGAGCUUCCUAAGACUAAAUAACUACAGAGUUGCUGGAAGCAUCCAAGCAUUUUGAAAGCUUGUGACUUACACGCGCCUGAAGAGAGUUACUUACAUGAAGCUGGUUUUAAUUUGUUCUCAACUUGAAAUAAACUACAUUCCCAAAUUAGUAUAUUUUCAAUGUCUUAACCCUAUAUACUUACUAAUGUUAAGGAGGGUUCUGCUGCAUUUCCCACCCUGCUACUUCUCUUUAAAAGCAAUUACAAGGUUUUGAGAGGUGUUUAUACGGUUUUAGUGUCCCAGUCCCUAAAUGACUUAGUUCGGUCAUCAUCUAAAUAUAGAGCAUCUAAUCAGAUGCAGCAGUUUCUGGCUGCUCGGCGCUGAGAGCCCCUGUUGUCCAGACCCUAAGUAUUUAUAACUAGGUAAGCUUUCUGUCACCAGAGAUCGGCUAUUUACGGGGCUUAGCGCAGUAUGUUACACGGCAGAGCUCGAAAUGCCACCCGAGCGCGUCACCGGAGGGCUGCUGGGAGGAUCGCUCCGAGAGCCGGCUGCUCCCCCAGCCCCGACCAAGCCCGACCCGGCUUGGGAGAGCUCGGUCCUCCUCCGCUCCCCAUCUCCCCUCGGCGGCGCCAGACGCGGCCGGC